rnacentral:rRNA from 1 species
CAGCGGUAACAGAAAGUAGCUUGCUACUUUGCUGACGAGCGGCGGACGGGUGAGUAAUGCUUGGGAACAUGCCUUGAGGUGGGGGACAACAGUUGGAAACGACUGCUAAUACCGCAUAAUGUCUACGGACCAAAGGGGGCUUCGGCUCUCGCCUUUAGAUUGGCCCAAGUGGGAUUAGCUAGUUGGUGAGGUAAUGGCUCACCAAGGCGACGAUCCCUAGCUGGUUUGAGAGGAUGAUCAGCCACACUGGGACUGAGACACGGCCCAGACUCCUACGGGAGGCAGCAGUGGGGAAUAUUGCACAAUGGGCGCAAGCCUGAUGCAGCCAUGCCGCGUGUGUGAAGAAGGCCUUCGGGUUGUAAAGCACUUUCAGUCAGGAGGAAAGGUUAACGGUUAAUACCCGUUAGCUGUGACGUUACUGACAGAAGAAGCACCGGCUAACUCCGUGCCAGCAGCCGCGGUAAUACGGAGGGUGCGAGCGUUAAUCGGAAUUACUGGGCGUAAAGCGUA